ACUUGAUGAAGUGACCAAGGAGUUCAGUGUUCUGAAGGAUUUGUUCUGUGAUGGUACAAACACGUCUCCCGAUAACACUUGCUCUCUAUGUAAACCAGGCUGGGUCCUCUUCAGUUCCAAGUGUUACUUCAUCUCCACUAAUAAACUGACCUGGAAGGAGAGCCGUGAUUGGUGCGAGACAAGACGUGGACGACUAGUGAAUAUAGAAAGUUCUGACCUGCAGGACUUUUUAAAAAGUAAAGAUAAAGGUGAUCAUUGGAUUGGCGGAUACAACAUCAGUAAAGAAAACAAAUCUACCAAGAUCGGCGCUGAACCUGUGAAGUCCAAGAGAGCCAGCGAUGACGACAAAGAAGAGUGUUUGGAGAUACACGUGCAGUCGACCAAGGUGUAUAACUACAACUGUGAAUAUCCUUUACGAUGGAUCUGUGAGUCCGCUGUGUUUCCUCUUCGUAUUUAAACUUCUAUCAAGAGUUCCAGUCACCUGCCAGAGCCGCUGUCUUCUGUAAUCGUAAGGAUCACUUCAUCAGUAAAUCACAGAGCUGCUAGUCUGAGCCGAGUCCAGACGUUCACGUCACUUUGUCAUGUAGGUGACAGAGGUAGUGAGUGACAACAUACUCUACAUACAGGACUGGGGGGAAAUGAAAGCUGCCAUCUUAUUGUAAUGUCAGUGUUGGUCUGUGACUUCUUCUCAGUUCUGACUAAAUAGACCCCCGGACCCUGAACUGCACAUGGUGGUUAUAGAUAACUGAUGAAAUGAUAAAGCUUCAUUUACAUAUGAGAAGAAAUGCACAGUUCUGAGUUUUAUAAAACUAUUUUAUAUUUGUGUAACAAGCAACACAUUCAAGUCCUUUCAGCAUUUAGUAAAAUGAAGAUACGUCACCAACCUGUGUGUGUCUUGAGUGACGUGAUAAAGUAUUUACCCCCUUCCUAGUAUGUUCUGUUUUUACAUAUUUUACACAAUCCAUGACCUCUGACCUUUAGAGAAAUGAAAUAUUAGAAAAAGGAGACCUGAGGAAAGACACAGUACAGUUUUUAAAUCACUGCUUUCUUUAUUCAAUGAACAAAGUUAUUAAUCCAACACCUCAGUGACCGAUGUGAAGGUGUCAUUGCAGAUCAGAGUCUCAGUGCUUGGCUGGUGUAACUUUAGCAGCAGUAAUAAGAACUAAACACUCUGUGAUUUAUAAUUUGAGAUCAGACUUUCAUGAGCAUCAACUGUUCAUGUCGGCACUUCUGUUAGUACAAGUUAGCAGUUUGACGAGGCUCUGAAACUCUUUGGGUGUUUCUUCUGGACUCCUCAUUGCUGCCCCCUGUUGGCAGGCCAGCUCUUCCUAUGAAGAUGUUGCUCUUUUCUGAAUGUUUUUGAGAUGAUGGCUGUCACUGUGGUGCCGUGGAGUCACAGAGCCUUAGCAAUGGCUAA